rnacentral:rRNA from 1 species
GCCUUGGCAUUCCGAGGGGCAUGCCUGUUCGAGCGUCAUUA